GUUAAUUCAUUCCUGGGGCAUUAUUCUUGAGUUAUUCAUGUUGUACAUGAACUCAUAUCCAUUAACUCCCUUAUAUGUUUUUAACUCGCACGAUUGGUAUUCUGGAAUUCAAACUGUUACACAAACAAUUUGCGAGAGAGAGAUACAUCAUUCAUAUUUAACAUGGUAGAUCAAGAAGCAUCUGGAUUAGAAAUUAUUUAGUACAGUAUUGUCCAAUGAAAUCUCAAGUAACAAAUAGUAAACAAAUCCACAUUGAUCUGAAGUCUAUGCCUUGAAUAAACACUAUGGAAGGAACUAAAAAAGGUUACAGAAGAACAAAAAAUAUAUUAGUUUAUUUUAUAGAAAAUAAUGCAAAAUUACAUACAAGAAAGAUAAUUAAUGAUUUUACUAAGAAGAUGCAAGCAGAAUUAUGGGAUGAAACAACUUCAAAAUUAAAUUCUUGUGUUGGAUUUAAAAAAUUGGUGACACAAUGGAAAAAAGUAAUUCAGUAACGGUAAUUUAAUUAUUCAUGCAAAUCAUUAUUUCAUAG
rnacentral:lncRNA from 1 species